rnacentral:lncRNA from 1 species
UUAUCAAGGUUUUUUUUUUCUUUUUGUGCCAGGUUUCUUUUAGUUUUCUAUAUUAAAUAUUAAAUAUUAUGGUGAUUGAGGAUUUCUUUUAGUUUUUAAUUUCAUGCACCUUUUUUUUUUUUUUUUUUUUUUUUGGAAAUUAGUCUAGAAUUUACUUUUUCAUUUUUGGGAAAUUAGUCUUGAAGAAUUACCCCAAACAAAAU